UCUUCAUGUCAGUCUUGUAACAUUUCACUCUGUCCUGCACAUCCUCACUUUCUAUUUUCACUCGUCACACUCACAGAUGCAAUUAUCACUCAUGAUUACUCAAAUCCAGCCCCCACUGUUUACACUUUGGUGAGUACUUCCCCUUUCAUAUGCAUCUCUAAUGUCUUCCUUUUUUGUGUUCUCUUUGUUCUCAGUGUUUUGUUCCAGUAAUCCAUUUGUCUUUUUGCAGGUUCUUCCUCUUAAUCCCCCUCCCUUUUAAACCACAUCUGUUUCUCGCUUUUUUGUUGACGCCAUGUCGCAGUGUCUCCCCCUCAUACACGCACAUACUGGUCAUCAGGAAACAGCCAAAUGAACAUUCAUGAAGUUUUUUUCACACACACACUAAAACACACCUCAUCCACGGAAAGCAAAACCAUGAUUUAAGCCUAUACAGUACAUGUAGAGACAUGAUGCUUUAAACACAUUCACACAUACACAAACACACAUGCAGGUCCCAUGAAGCCAGAAUAUGAACAGAUGAUCAGUUUGGCUGUCAGGGCAAACAGGCUGAGUUCAGAACAUUGGCAGCCACAGCAAUGCCACUACUAAUUGCCUUUCUCUGCGUAUUCUCUUGGUGUGUGUGUGUAUGUGUGAGAUCCUCACAUGCAGAGUGAGUAUGGUGUCUUUCACACCCUCUGUGUGCAGAACGUGGUGACUCAACAUGAGAUCACAUGUGUGCGUGUAAAAUGUGAUAUGGCUUAGCGAACUUGUGAGGACUGACUUGUGACAGCCCACCAGCCCUGACAUUUUGAAUUGUUAGGACAUUUUGACCAAUUGCAAAAGACACAAAACAGCUCACUUUGAGAUUGCGCCUACAUCUACAGUAAUGCAGUGUUUGCAAACGCACUAACUGUGGAGUGGCCCGGAGUUUCAGUUGAAUAUCCACCUUGAAACCUCAUGUAAGGGAGCAAAAUACUUCGGUUUAAAAUCUCUAUUCCAAUUACACUUAGCGUGUACUAUUCCUUUUAAAAUGAUACUCCACCCAAAAACAAUCUUCCUGACGAGAAACAGAAUGGAAAAUGUUGUUGAGGGUGAACAUCAUCUGUGUUCAGAUGAAACUGAGUUAGUUAUGAUGGAUUCCAUCACAACGGGAUAUUUGUUUUGUAAUUUCAUGGGGAGAUGGGUCAGAUAUUUGGCAUUACACAAAAAUAAUUCUGUUCAAGGCGGAUAUUUGUUUUCUUGUUUAAAUCAUUCAACGGAUAUUUCCCUUUAUGCAUAUAUAGCAUAAAAACAUAUUUGUUAAGGAACCUGUAAAUUUGGUUAUUUGAACUGUCAUAGCAGUUGUAACAAGAAAGUCCUUUGGGGUGUGAAGCACCUAGAGGAAGUUACAGAGAACAUACCACCUCCUGACAGGAAGGCCCCCAGUGUGAAACGUCUUGCAGAUAACAUUUUUAGAUUUCAGGUUCCAUUUUCAGAGGAGGGAAAAUUGCAAACAUACUUCCUAUGACAUAAUAUGGCAUAUGAAAGCAGUGUUAGUUGUGUGUUUUUACUUCAACUUUUCUUACGUGGUGACCCACCCUGCCUAUUGAGAAAUGGCUACUUCUAGUACAAGCGAUGGGGUCAGCAUAAUCAACUUAACUUACCUGUCAGCGGGUCCGUCAUUACAGGCUCAGACUGUGCAGCUAAACAUUGCUCACAACAACAGAGCUUCUCACGUUCAUUGCAUAUUACAAGGUUUCCAAGCAGACCAAAUUGUCAGGGUAAAUUUGGGUGAAAUGUGCAUAAAAUGACUCCCAAGGCAUCUAGAAGAUUUCCAUUUGAUGGAAUGGUUCAGCCAUCAAAAAUGUGGAGUCUUCUGUUUAAGUAUUUCACCCAGAGUAAACAUCAUAUAUCUCCAGCGGAGCUUUGGCUGACAUAGAAUAUAUAUGAUGUUGUCAGACAGGGUGGCAUGAGAUGAGUUUUCAAACCUUAAAGCUACUUCAAGAGGAAAAUUGGUGUCCAUUUUCUCAGCUAUCUAUGUUGCCAUGGGUAGCACCGUAAGCACUGCUGCUAAACAACAUAUUCAAGUUACCUCAGCUCAAAGAAAGUCAUAUCUCUCCCUGGUGUUUCUUCAACUCAUGGCAACAGUGUAGUCACUCACUCAAUAUUUUCCUUACGCUAGCGCACAGCAUGCUAGUGGCUUACCAUGAGGUACGUGAUGUGUGUCACAGAAGCACCUAAUGUCUACAUGUUGUGAUUACUUCUUGCCUGUGUUUGAUAUGGACAAAGCGGUCUGGAGUGAAUGGGAGUGUUUGAUCUAUUUUAAGGUCCACGGGAAAUAAUGUGUUACUGCUCAAUAUGGUUCAAUGCAGUAUCUUUAUUGUCUCCCAGUGUCACGCCAACUGACAAAAAAGCACAACCAAAACAUCAAAAACCUUUCAUUCACUUUGCAAACAAAACAAGUCUUCAGCCGGACCUACAGGGGGCAGUCAAUCAGUUCAACAACACCAGCAAAGCACUCCAACCACUUCCUGUCAAGAGGAGGAACUUCCUGUUAGACGGCCAUCUUAACCAUCAGUUCAACACAUGCUGUGGGAGACAAAGGAGGAAAGUUUGUGGAGAGCAAAAGCUUAAAGAAACAAACCAAACCAAGAAAACUAAAAUCCCUCAGUUCACCGUCAAACGCAACUGGUUUUCAACCUGCUGCUAUUGAAUGACUGAAUGACCCCUUCAUCAACAAAACAAAGUUCAAUAAAACAUAAAAAGGGGAAAUCCUUGUCAAGAGUUGUUCCUUGCGUGACCAAGCUCUUUCAAGUGGAGCAUUAACUGAGGGAUCAAAUAAAAAGAAGAAAAAAAAAAAA